rnacentral:sRNA from 1 species
GCUUCGACUAAGGUUCGACUCGAGCGAAGCGAGAGAACGUUGCCGCAGGCAACGGCCCGAAGGGCGAAGCGCUUUAGCGCCGAGUAAUCCUUCCCCCACCACUG